rnacentral:rRNA from 1 species
CGCACGGGUGAGUAACACGUAUCCAACCCGCCGUCUACUCUUGGACAGCCUUCUGAAAGGAAGAUUAAUACAAGAUGGCAUCAUGAGUCCGCAUGUUCACAUGAUUAAAGGUAUUCCGGUAGACGAUGGGGAUGCGUUCCAUUAGAUAGUAGGCGGGGUAACGGCCCACCUAGUCUUCGAUGGAUAGGGGUUCUGAGAGGAAGGUCCCCCACAUUGGAACUGAGACACGGUCCAA